CCUACGGGAGGCAGCAGUGGGGGAUAUUGCACAAUGGGGGAAACCCUGAUGCAGCGACGCCGCGUGGGUGAAGAAGUAUUUCGGUAUGUAAAGCCCUAUCAGCAGGGAAGAAAGAAGACGGUACCUGACUAAGAAGCCCCGGCUAACUACGUGCCAGCAGCCGCGGUAAUACGUAGGGGGCGAGCGUUAGCCGGAUUCACUGGGUGUAAAGGGAGCGUAGACGGCCGUGCAAGCCAGGAGUGAAAGCCCGGGGCCCAACCCCGGGACUGCUCUUGGAACUGUGCGGCUGGAGUGCGGGAGGGGCAGGCGGAAUGCCUGGUGUAGCGGUGAAAUGCGUAGAUAUCAGGAGGAACACCGGCGGCGAAGGCGGCCUGCUGGACCGCGACUGACGUUGAGGCUCGAAAGCGUGGGGAGCGAACAGGAUUAGAUACCCCGGUAGUC
rnacentral:rRNA from 1 species